CCGGGGAGGAGGAGUCGGGUGAUCCGGGCUGACCUCUUCCUAGAACAUGUGCUCUACCCGGGGUCUACCACGGGAAGAACAGAGCUGGGGAGCCUUACCCAGGAAUCUCUGCGCCGUUAAACCACUGAUGACCACUGGAUGGUGCUGUGAUCCACAGUUUCAGGCUCCAAAGGGCAGCCUGAAAGCCAAGUUCUGGAAGUGUGCUGCCCUUCAAAGACAAAAGACUUAAAAAGCUUCCCGGUGCAUUGCUUUUCUGUGUUACGGCCUACCUGAUACCUCACUAGGCGUGAGCUUAGAAAGUGAAUGGUCACCAGAGGUGUUGAGCUCGGGUGGGAGAGGGCAGGGCCAGAACCUUCCGCUACAGGCCUUGCGCUCGAGAACAGCCCAGCAUGGGGCCAGAACCUUCCGCUAAGAGAACAGCCUAGCGUGGGGCCUCCCAGCACACUUGGAAAGAAGCCAUAUCUUUUAGGCAGAGAACUGGGCCUUUCAUCUAAGGAAAUAUUGAGCAAAUAUUUAAAAACCACGGAUUUAAACAAUCACAGUGUCAGCCUGCCUCGAGCUGGUCCUAGGCAUGGCUGCUGUGUUCCUUCUGCUUCGUCCUGACGUUCCAUGGCUAACCAGGUGGGGACUCCUUCCGCUAAGAAAAUUCUCUCUCUCUCUGAAAAUGUCUACAAGGCAUUGCUUGUAGAUGGAUACCUUAAGAACCCAAACUAAAUCUGCUGGAGGAGAAAGUGGGGAAGAGCCUGGAACUCAUUGGCACAGGAGACAACUUCCUGAACAGAACACCAAGAGCACAGGCUCUAAGAUCAACAAUCAAUAAAUGGGACCUCAUGAAACUGAAAAGCUUCUGUAAAGCAAAGGACACCAUUGUCAGAACAAAACAACAGCCUACAGACUGGGAAAGGAUCUUUACCAACCCUAUAUCUGACAGAGGGCUGAUAUCCACAAUAUAUAAAGAACUCAAGAAAUUAAAUGCCAACAAACCAAAUAAUCCAAUUAAAAAUGGGGUACAGAGCUAAACAGAGAAUUCUCAAUAGAGGAAUAUCAAAUGGCAGAGAAACACUUAAAGAAAUGCUCACCUUCCAUAAUCAUCGGGAAAUGCAAAUCAAAAUGACUCCGAGAUUCUAUCUUACUCCUAUCAGAAGGGCUAAGAUAAAAAACUCAAGUGAUAACACAUGCUGGAGAGGAUGUGGAGAAAAGGGAACCUCCUUCCUUGCUAAUAGGAGUGUAAACUUGUACAACCACUUUGAAAACCAAUGUGUUGCUUUCUCAGAAAAACUGGGACUAGCCAUACCUCAGGACCCAGCUAAACAACUCCUGGGUAUACAUCCAAAAGAUGCUCCACUAUACCACAAGGUCGUUUGCUUGACCACGUUCAUAGCAGUUCGUAAUAGCCGGAAACUGGAAACAACCUAGAUGUCCCUGGGUCAAAGAAUGGAAAAAGAAACUGUGGCACAUUUACACAAUGGAAUACUACUCAGCCAUUAAAAACAAAGAAAUCAUGACAUUUGCUGCCAAAUGGCUGGAACUAGAGAAGAUCAUCCUGAGAAACACACACACAGUAUGUACUCACUUACAGGUGAAUUUUAGUCAUAUACUACAGGAUAGACCUACUACCAUGUACAGAUUCCAUGAAGAUCAGUAACAGGGAGGACCCAAGGGAGGACACAAAGCUCGGUCAGAAGGAGAAACAGAAUAGACAGAGGUGAUGGUGGAAGAGCAGGAACAGGACCGUCAGAGCCAAUCAACCAGGGCCCGGAGGGGCCUCUGGAGUCAACCAAGGAAAACACGUGGUCUGGACCUAGGUCCCCUUAGGGCAUCUAAGCUUCACAUGGGCCCCCUGGUUAGGGGAGUAGGGGACAUCUCUGACAUGGACGAGGUUACCGGCUUUCUGAUCACUUCGCCCUGAGGGGACUGCCUCGCAGGCCACAGGGGAGGAAAACGAAUUCAGUCCUCAUGUGAAUAGAUGAGCUAGGGUAUCUGGA